rnacentral:rRNA from 1 species
UACGUAGGUGGCGAGCGUUGUCCGGAUUUACUGCGCGUAAAGAGCGCGCAGGCGGUCGUACAAGUCGCGUGUGAAAGCCCCUGGCUCAACUGGGGAGGGUCACGCGAUACUGUUCGACUCGAAGGCAGGAGAGGGAAGUGGAAUUCCCGGUGUAGUGGUGAAAUGCGUAGAUAUCGGGAGGAACACCAGUGGCGAAGGCGACUUCCUGGCCUGUUCUUGACGCUGAGGCGCGAAAGCUAGGGUAGCAAACGGG